AUACCUUCUUGGCAGGGGAGAUACCAUGAUUACUAAGGUGGUUUCCCAGGGUGAGGCUUAUCCAUUGUACUUCAGAUGUGCUGACCUCUGCUAUUUCCCCAAAUGUGGGAAACUUGACUUUGAAGUAGGC
ensembl:snRNA U1 U1 spliceosomal RNA